AUACGUAGGGGGCUAGCGUUAUCCGGAAUUACGGGGCGUAAAGGGUGCGUAGGUGGUUUCUUAAGUCAGAAGUGAAAGGCUACGGCUCAACCGUAGUAAGCUUUUGAAACUAAGAGACUUGAGUGCAGGAGAGGAGAGUAGAAUUCCUAGUGUAGCGGUGAAAUGCGUAGAUAUUAGGAGGAAUACCAGUUGCGAAGGCGGCUCUCUGGACUGUAACUGACACUGAGGCACGAAAGCGUGGGGAGCAAACAGGAUUAGAUACCCUGGUAGUCCACGCCGUAAACGAUGAGUACUAGCUGUCGGGGGUUACCCCCCUCGGUGGCGCAGCUAACGCAUUAAGUACUCCGCCUGGGAAGUACGCUCGCAAGAGUGAAACUCAAAUGAAUCGGCGGGG
rnacentral:rRNA from 1 species